GGGGCUGAUUCUGGACUCGACGGGAUUGUGAAGCCUUAGGAGCAUGCCGAGGGGCGGUUUGCCUCGUAAAAAGCCGCAAAAAAAUAGUCGCAAACGACGAAAACUACGCUUUAGCAGCUUAAUAACCUGCUUUGAAGCCCUCUCUCCCUAGCUUCCGCUCUUAAGACGGGGAUCAAGAGAGGUCAAACCCAAAAGAGAUCGUGUGGAUGCCCUGCCUGGGGUUGAAGCAUUAAAUCUAAUCAGGCUAGUCUGUCAGUGGCGUGUCUGUCCGCAGCUGCCAGGCGAAUGUAAAGACUGACUAAGCAUGUAGUGCCGACGGUGUAGUAAUUUCGGACGCGGGUUCAACUCCCGCCAGCUCCACCA
rnacentral:tmRNA from 1 species